AGCAUGAUUUCUGGGUCAUAUGGUAAGAGUAUGCUUAAUUUUUUUUUUUUUAAGAAACUACCAAAUUGUUUUCCAAAGUGACUGUAUCAUUUUGCAUUUCCACCAGCAAU
rnacentral:pre_miRNA from 1 species